AACGAUUACAAGCUCUUUAAGAAGUCAGUCAGUGGUGAGUUACAAAGGCUCAAUAAGACUCUUGAGAGGUUGACUGAAACUAUGGAGAGUUUGAAUGUCUCACAAGCUUCCACUUCUACAAGAAUACCUCAAAGAACUCUUAAUUGCAAUAAUGAUUGUGAUAAUUCGGAUGUGUUGGUUAAUAAUGUGCUGCUUGCUGCACAUUGUGAGAUGCUUGUUGCUAGGC
rnacentral:lncRNA from 1 species